rnacentral:misc_RNA from 1 species
AGAAUAAAAAAAAAAAAAAAUACAGCAUGAGAGAUUCAAUUGCAAUAAUCGUAUGAACUUCCAAAACAACACUACUGCAUUUCUCAAGAAAAUCUCCUUCCCACAAAAUGAAAAGGAAGAACCCCAAAAAUGCCCACUAGAGGGCAAGAUAUCAAAAGACAAGGUAUACCCAUUCGACGGCGGCCUCUGAAGCAAAAACCCAUCAAUAGAAAUGACCCAUUUUACCAGAAACGCCAAAACAGCAUAAAAGAAGUCCAAGGCAAAGGAAACUGUGAUAAAAGUAGCUUACUGCUUCUAUCUUCAGAAGAAGAAAAGAACGGAAAAAGGAAAACGUCCGCUUUUGACAGUCUCUAAUAUUUAAGAAGCGAAAAACCUAGAAGAACCCAACUUCGAAGACGAUGUUGCUUGUGCUGGCGCUGAAUCAUGUGUGGCUGGUUGGCAUGAUUCCUUAGAAGAAUAAGACCCCUUGUAACGUUAUCUCCGCAGUUUAUGA